rnacentral:piRNA from 1 species
CUAAAUAGAAAAGAAAUGAGGGUUGG